UUAUACGGCCAUACCACCCUGAAUGCGCCCGAUCUCGUCUGCUAAGCAGGGUCGGGCCUGGUUAGUACUUGGAUGGGAGGCUUUUCUAUUUCUGCAGUAGAGA
rnacentral:rRNA from 1 species